UACGGGGGGGGCAAGCGUUGUUCGGAAUUACUGGGCGUAAAGGGCUCGUAGGUGGCCAACUAAGUCAGACGUGAAAUCCCUCGGCUUAACCGGGGAACUGCGUCUGAUACUGGAUGGCUUGAGUUUGGGAGAGGGACGCGGAAUUCCAGGUGUAGCGGUGAAAUGCGUAGAUAUCUGGAGGAACACCGGUGGCGAAGGCGGCUAUCUGGCACACAACUGACGCUGAGGCGCGAAAGCGUGGGGAUCAAACAGGG
rnacentral:rRNA from 1 species